rnacentral:rRNA from 1 species
CCUACGGGUGGCAGCAGUGAGGAAUAUUGGUCAAUGGCCGGAAGGCUGAACCAGCCAAGUCGCGUGAAGGAUGACGGCCCUACGGGUUGUAAACUUCUUUUGUCAGGGAGCAAUUGGGUCCACGCGUGGGCUUAGCGAGAGUACCUGAAGAAAAAGCCUCGGCUAACUCCGUGCCAGCAGCCGCGGUAAUACGGAGGAUGCGAGCGUUAUCCGGAUUUAUGGGGUUUAAAGGGUGCGUAGGCGGAAUAUCAAGUCAGCGGUAAAAAUUCGGGGCUCAACCCCGUCGUGCCGUUGAAACUGAUGUUCUGGAGUGGGCGAGAGGUAUGCGGAAUGCGUGGUGUAGCGGUGAAAUGCAUAGAUAUCACGCAGAACUCCGAUUGCGAAGGCAGCAUACCGGCGCACAACUGACGCUGAAGCACGAAAGCGUGGGUAUCGAACAGGAUUAGAUACCCGAGUAGUC